rnacentral:rRNA from 1 species
GACGAACGCUGGCGGCGUGCCUAAUACAUGCAAGUCGAGCGAGGCUGCCUUGAAGAUCGGAGUGCUUGCACUCUGUGAAACAAGAUACAGGCUAGCGGCGGACGGGUGAGUAACACGUGGGUAACCUGCCCAAGAGAUCGGGAUAACACCUGGAAACAGAUGCUAAUACCGGAUAACAACAGAUGAUGCCUAUCAACUGUUUAAAAGAUGGUUCUGCUAUCACUCUUGGAUGGACCUGCGGUGCAUUAGCUAGUUGGUAGGGUAACGGCCUACCAAGGCGAUGAUGCAUAGCCGAGUUGAGAGGCUGAUCGGCCACAUUGUGACUGAGACACGGCCCAAACUCCUACGGGAGGCAGCAGUAGGGAAUCUUCCACAAUGGACGCAAGUCUGAUGGAGCAACGCCGCGUGAGUGAAGAAGGGUUUCGGCUCGUAAAGCUCUGUUGUUGGUGAAGAAGGACAGGGGUAGUAACUGACCUUUGUUUGACGGUAAUCAAUUAGAAAGUCACGGCUAACUAAGUG